rnacentral:rRNA from 1 species
UACGGGAAGGGCAAGCGUUAUCCGGCGUGACUGGGCGUAAAGAGUCCGUAGACGGUAAAGUAAGUUUAUUUGUUAAAAUUUUUAAAAACUUAAUUUUAAUAUGGCAAUAAGUACUGCUUUACUUUGAGUUUAGUAUAGAAAAGUAGAAUUUUAUAUGGUAAGGGUGAAAUCCGUAGAUAUAUAAAGGAAUGCCAAUAGCGAAGGCAACUUUUUGGUAUAACUGACG